rnacentral:rRNA from 1 species
UACAGAGGUCCCGAGCGUUGUUCGGAUUCACUGGGCGUAAAGGGUGCGUAGGUGGUGAGGCAAGUCGGAUGUGAAAUCUCCGGGCUUAACCCGGAAACUGCAUUGGAAACUGCCUUGCUAGAGGUUUUGAGGGGGGACUGGAAUUCUCGGUGUAGCAGUGAAAUGCGUAGAUAUCGAGAGGAACACCAGUGGCGAAGGCGAGUCCCUGGAAAACACCUGACAUUGAGGCACGAAAGCUAGGGGAGCAAACAGG